rnacentral:rRNA from 1 species
UACGGAGGAUGCGAGCGUUAUCCGGAUUUAUUGGGUUUAAAGGGUGCGUAGGCGGCCGAGUAAGUCAGCGGUGAAAUUUUGCAGCUUAACUGUAACAGUGCCGUUGAUACUGCCAGGCUAGGAUUUGGUUGCUGUGGGUGGAAUGUGUGGUGUAGCGGUGAAAUGCUUAGAUAUCACACAGAAUAUCGAUUGCGAAGGCAGCUCACAAAGCCAAGAUUGACGCUGAGGCACGAAAGUGUGGGGAUCAAACAGGA